AGGGAAUCUUCCGCAAUGGACGAAAGUCUGACGGAGCAACGCCGCGUGAGUGAUGAAGGUUUUCGGAUCGUAAAGCUCUGUUGCCAGGGAAGAACGUCCUGUAGAGUAACUGCUACAGGAGUGACGGUACCUGAGAAGAAAGCCCCGGCUAACUACGUGCCAGCAGCCGCGGUAAUACGUAGGGGGCGAGCGUUGUCCGGAAUUAUUGGGCGUAAAGCGCGCGCAGGCGGCUGUUUAAGUCUGGUGUUUAAUCCUGGGGCUCAACCCCGGGUCGCACUGGAAACUGGACAGCUUGAGUGCAGCGGAGGAGAGUGGAAUUCCACGUGUAGCGGUGAAAUGCGUAGAGAUGUGGAGGAACACCAGUGGCGAAGGCGACUCUCUGGGCUGUAACUGACGCUGAGGCGCGAAAGCGUGGGGAGCAAAC
rnacentral:rRNA from 1 species